CGUCCGGGCGCCCCCCUAUCCCCUCCGUGCGCCGAAGCAAGGGACGCCCCCAACCCCAAUCCUGUUCGCGCGCGGCUCCACCGUCCCGGUUCCCCUUUGUGGCCGGCACCGCGGAGCAUGUGCUUCCUCCUGCUCGCCGUUGCUGCCCGCCAUCGUCAGCUCCUCCGUUUGCCCGAACAACAGCAACUACGAGGCCGGCGCCUCCGUCCGCCCCUAUAACAGCAGCUGCGCGGCCGACACCUCCAUUUGCCCCCCAACAACAGCAGGUGCGUCGAUGGCGUCUCCAAGGAACUCGCCUCCUUAUGCAACUCCCUGGGCGCCGAGGUAGAGGCAGGGAUCUCCUGCUCAGACAUCACGGAGUGGAAGGCUUAACAUAAUAGAUUAUCUGAUGGGGAUGAAGCUAAAUCUUCUGCUGGAAAGGACUUCCCUGCUCUGAGUAUGUCAGAGAUUCAGAAUGCUCGCUGUAUCAUGGAUUUACUGCCAGAGAUGUUGAAUGCUUUAGACCGUGGAAACAGAGAGCUGGCCAAGAUAUUUGAGGCCAAGAAGUUGAAGAUAGUUCCUAGUUGCCUUGCCAUACGCUGUGUUUGUCAUCCUCACUGGCGAACUGAUCAUAAUAUCAUCCCACCAGCGUCCGUCAAUAUGAUCGCGGGUUCCUCUCUUCAAUUGGCUCUGUCUUGGCGAGAAGAUUUGAUGGCAGCUUACUGAUUUGACGACAAACAGCCUACUUCAGAGCUCUAUGCAUAUGGACUCAUGUAGCUCAGAAGAAAAUUUGUUCAUUUUGGAACUUCCCUGCAGCUUCCACAGGUAUUCAUUUAACCUCCCAUGACAAAUAUGACGAAUUGAAACAUUCUCAUUGUGCUGUAUGGAGGUAUCCAGCUACACCUGGAGACACUAGGAUCAGGGAAAACUACGCUACAAUCAUCCUUAAAUCUUCCCACCAAAGUGGUAAAAUGGUCGAACUCGUUGGUGUUUUUUCUUUGAGAUGGAAAUUACUGCAUUUUAUUAUUCAGAAAUUUUGGCACACUCCUAGAGCACCAAGCCAAGGGUGGCAGACCUGAUCAUGGGCAGCCCGGCCCGAAAAAUGGGCCAGGUUGGGCUCCAUUUCGCUGCCUGAAAGUCCAUUCUAGCCGGGCUCAGGCUUUAGUUCUGCGGCACUUCGGGCCGGGCUUACACGUGCGCGUUCUGAAAACAACAUUUGAGCUGGGCUUUUGGGCUUGUUUUCAGGCCAGCUUGGGCUUGAGGAAAGGGGCAACUUUGGGCUUCGGUGCUGGCUCGGGCUUGUAGUUCGAGGUUCAGGCUUUUUUAAGCCCAACUCAAAACCCGGCCCGACAUAUGAUCAGGUUUACGCGGGGUACAUGUAACCAUAUUUUACAAAUUUUAUUAUUUCUACGACCUUCCUUAGCUAAAAUAUGUGCUAUGAGGGUAGCACACUGAGCGUGUGGUUACCGAAGUGAAAGUCCCAAGCAGGGUUGUAGAGAACCAUGUCGAGUUUGACGAGAGUUGGAUUUUCACGCUCGUUGCUCCAUGUAAACUUCCUAUUCUGAAGGUGGAUUUCCUUCAGAGAGCAAUUAGAGAGAGAGUGCUCCCUAAGAGAUCCACUAUCCGAAGAUUUAGGUUGAGGUUGUUUCCUACCGGCCUCUUGGUAAAUGAGGUUAAAGUCACCCAUAACCAGCCAUAUACUGUCACUUGUUAACCUAUUAUUAUACCUUUUCUCUAGUCCCAUGAAAUUCUCAAACUCAAAGAUGGAUGCAUAUGUUGUGUAAAUUUUUGCUAAAUGGUAUCAAUAAAUAGCGUAUCAGCUCCAUAAAUUUGACAUCACAAUAAUUAUAUCAGAAAUUACUUAAUUUGGUGAACUUAUUUUAUAGGUUGUUCAAAAAGUAGGUGCCAGAAAAUUAGCAACAUGCUUGAUUAAGUAGAUCAUAAUCUAACUUAUGAAAUGCAUCCAUACUAAAAGUGAGCAAUCCCUAUCUUUGAACUUGCCGACAUAAGGGUACCGUGAAAAAAACACUUCGUCUUGUCCGCUCCCGCGAGGGGGGGGGGGGGACCCUAGAUCGAGUGGUCGCCCGCCUCCCUCCCCGUCGGAGUGCGUAGUCGGGGAAACCCCACUCGGCGUAGGCGGCGGGGGGCUCUCUUCCUUCUCGUUGGCCCCCUGCAACGUGGGAUGCGGUGGCCACCCGAGGGCGCGACACUUGACAGGGCUUGGCGGCACGGCUGGUCGUGCCAGCGGCGCGGGCAGCCGUGGUUGCUGCGGAGGCUGCGUGGAUCCGGCUAGGCGUGGGGCGGCGGGGACGGCGAGCGGCUAGUGCGAAGGUUCGUGGCGGCGGCGGCUAUCACGCCGCGGUAGGGUGCAGGGGGCCGAGGGCACCAAUGGCGGGGUCGUGCGCGUGCACGCUUAGGCCGGCCCCUGGCUUGGGGUGGCUGGUUGCUUCCGGCCGUGUUCAUGGCGGCCGGUGCGCUAGCCGAUCCGGUGGUAGCGUGCCCAGCAGAUUCAACGCCUGGAGUUCGGCGGGCGGCGUGGGAUGGGCAGUGGCCUGGUGUGGCUGCUGCUCUGGCCGUGGAUGUAUCCACGAUAGCUUGGCAGGUCGGAUGCGGCGGCGGCUGACAUGUUUCGGCGUUGGUUCGUCCGUAGGCGGCGUGCGUACCUUCGAUUCCUCUCCCCGUUGUCCAUGCGCCACUUCCUUCGAAGGGCUGGACUUCUCCCAGCUGCGGUUCAUCGCUCGUCUCGCGCCCGACAGCACGACCGAGCUCGUCCCGUGCCCGGCAGCAGGACCGUGCUCGUCUUGCGCCCAGUAGCAGGACCACGCUCGUCUCGCACCCGACGACAGGACGGGCCGAUGGAGGCCAGUUUGGCCGGCCUAUUGGGUCUCGGCGUUGGGGGCAGCUCAGGGGUGCUAAAGGCGGGGCCUUUCCACUCAUCUCUUUGGGUGGGGUGGCGCUGGGUGGGGUGGCGCUGGGUGGCGAGUGAGGUGGCGUCAAGGUCUUGGAUGCCGGGGCGACGGCCCUGGUGGUGGUGUCGCGGUGCUCAUGGGCAAAGCCCGUGCCUUGGUGCUGCCUGGUGACCAUGAUCGUGUGGGCGGCAUGGUCGCCGGGGUGUGGCGUUCGGUGGCGAUGAGUAUUGGGCCGGGGUAAAAACCUGUUCUAUCUUCGGACGGACUGGCGGCGGCGAAACUCGUUCCCUUCUUGAAGGCGUCGUCGCAGUCUUCAUUGCCCGUCGUGUUGCUCUAGGGGAAACUCUGACCCUCGGGUCGGGCGGUGGCGGCGCUCCGGUGUCGUAUCCUUUCUGAAGGCACCGCCUUGGAGCCUACGGGUCGUCAUAUGCGGCUUCAUCUCUUUGCGGUGGCGUGUUCACGGUCGAGGACCCGACUGCUCUUGUAGUGCUUAGAGUGGUGUUGCUGCGCUCAGUGCAUAUGUGUCUUGCCUUGGGUGUGUGCGAGUGUUGUGAUGGCGUGCAAUUUUUCCCGGGUUGUUGUUGGUCGAUACUUUAUAGAUAAAGCGGGGCGAGAGCCUUUUUCGGUAACUUGCCGACAUGGUUUUGCUAUGCCAAGGCUAACACCAUAUUUUCCAAUUUAGGUAUCGGGGUAUGGCAUUUUGGGGUAAAUUCAUAGUUGAGGAUUUAGUUUGUAGUUUUAGGGAAAAUCGUUUGCUUGGAUAAAUAUAAUGGGGUUUGAAUAAUACUCGGUUUUCACUUGAUGUUUCAUUAUUUGCCUGAUGUUCUUAGUUGGCAAUGAUUAUUUCAAAGGGUAAGGAGGCAUGCACCGGUUUGAAAUGGCACCAUCCAGUUAUGCGAGUGAGAAGGGUCUCUUUUCUUUUUCUGGACACAGUGCAAUAGGAGAUCGUCAUAUAUUUUUUUCUUUUUCUGGACACAGUGCAAAUAGGAGAGUGCUCCUCUUUGCACAUUUGUGAGAACCAUUACAGGUUAUCAUAAAACAUGCGGUUAUGUGAAAAACAAAUCGGGGUUUCUUUCUUGAUAUUUAAGUCAAUUCAACGGUGGGAUAUGACUACCAUAAUCAUCACAAUCUGUUAUAGCGGCCUAGUACAUUCCUUGCGUUAUGCGUACAUGUUUGACCGAUGCUCGUUAGGAGCGGCAGGCCGGGGAGCAACCUGAAAGGAAAGCCAAACGAAAAGGCAGACGCUUGUGUGUGUCAUCUCAUUAUUACAGGAUUCAGCUCGUUGACGUAAACCAGGUCCUCAUUUUACUCCAAGACCUUUUCGUUUUCGGUUCCAUGGAGGCGGACGCCGAAUCAAUUUCUUAAACCGGAGGGGGUACGUUCAUGGCGGCCCUCAACCCCACUGAAACACACCGCCAUCACCCAAUCAAACCGCUCAAUCACCCCCACAACACGCCAGCCCCUAAUCAACCGCUCGUGAGCCAUCAUGCACACUGGACGCCCGAGAGACCCCGAGAGCGUUCGGUGCAACGACGCACCAACUCACUCACCACUUCAUCCAUCCUUUGACGCCAAGAUAAAACGAUGGAACAAAGACGGAGCAGCGCCCACUCAGUGACUGCCGGUAAGACCCAGAGCAGGCGCAGCAGCCAGCAGAUCAGAUGUGCCCCACCCGACAACGGUCACCA